GUCUGCAACUCGACUACAUGAAGCUGGAAUCGCUGGUAAUCGCAGAUCAGAAUGCUGCGGUGAAUACGUUCCCGGGUCUUGUACACACCGCCCGUCACACCAUGGGAGUCGGAAAUGCCCGAAGCCGGUGACCCAACCAAAAGGAGGGAGCCGUCGAAGGCAGGUCUGAUAACUGGGGGUGAAGUCGUAACAAGGUAUC
rnacentral:rRNA from 1 species